rfam:Felis catus isolate Cinnamon breed Abyssinian chromosome A3, whole genome shotgun sequence.
GCCUGGGUGGCUCAGUCGGUUAAGCAUCUGACUUCGGCUCAGGUCAUGAUCUCACGGUUCGUGAGUUCGAGCCCCGCGUCGGGCU